AUUGAACGCUGGCGGCAGGCUUAACACAUGCAAGUCGAGCGGGGGAGGUUGCUUCGGUAACUGACCUAGCGGCGGACGGGUGAGUAAUGCUUAGGAAUCUGCCUAUUAGUGGGGGACAACAUUCCGAAAGGGAUGCUAAUACCGCAUACGCCCUACGGGGGAAAGCAGGGGAUCUUCGGACCUAGCGCUAAUAGAUGAGCAUAGGUCGGAUUAGCUAGUUGGUGGGGUAAUGGCCCACCAAGGCGACGAUCCGUAACUGGUCUGAGAGGAUGAUCAGUCACACUGGAACUGAGACACGGUCCAGACUCCUACGGGAGGCAGCAGUGGGGAAUAUUGUACAAUGGGCGAAAGCCUGAUCCAGCCAUGCCGCGUGUGUGAAGAAGGUCUUCGGAUUGUAAAGCACUUUAAGUCGGGAGGAAGGGCUGUAGGUUAAUACCCUGCGGUUUUGACGUUACCGACAGAAUAAGCACCGGCUAACUUCGUGCCAGCCGCCGCUGUAAUAC
rnacentral:rRNA from 1 species